GCAGCGACGCCGCGUGAGGGAUGACGGCCUUCGGGUUGUAAACCUCUUUCACCAGGGACGAAGCGUGAGUGACGGUACCUGGAGAAGAAGCACCGGCCAACUACGUGCCAGCAGCCGCGGUAAUACGUAGGGUGCGAGCGUUGUCCGGAAUUACUGGGCGUAAAGAGCUCGUAGGCGGUUUGUCGCGUCGUCUGUGAAAUUCUGCAACUCAAUUGCAGGCGUGCAGGCGAUACGGGCAGACUUGAGUACUACAGGGGAGACUGGAAUUCCUGGUGUAGCGGUGAAAUGCGCAGAUAUCAGGAGGAACACCGGUGGCGAAGGCGGGUCUCUGGGUAGUAACUGACGCUGAGGAGCGAAAGCGUGGGUAGCGAACAGGAUUAGAUACCCUGGUAGUCCACGCCGUAAACGGUGGGUACUAGGUGUGGGUUCCUUUUCACGGGAUCCGUGCCGUAGCUAACGCAUUAAGUAC
rnacentral:rRNA from 1 species